rnacentral:misc_RNA from 1 species
GAAGGUAAUGAAUAUUCAAUUGAAAAUAAUGCAGGAGGUGGAAAAAUUGAAGGCCAUAAUGUUAAGAAAGUCAAGAAGAAGAAGGUCAAGUCAGUUGAAAAUGGUUUAGAGGGAAAGGGUAGUGAAAGAGAACCGAGAAUCAGCAAAGGUGUUGAGGCUACUAAUCCAUCAGAAAGGUCUACACCAAAAGGGACAUCUAAGAGAGUAAGUUUUUCUGAACAGGUGGAGGUUUUCCCUUUAUCUGAUGGUCCAAGUGGGAAGACUGUUCAGAAAGAGAAAUUGGUGCAGGGGAAGCGAUUCUCACGUGAGGAAGAUGAGAUGGUUAAAGAAGCCGUUUUGAACUACAUUAGUGCUCAUGGAUUGGGUGAAGAAGGCCUGAAGAUGGUUCUCAACUGUAAAAAGUACCCUGAACUUAAAAA